AGUCGAGCGAACGGACGAGAAGCUUGCUUCUCUGAUGUUAGCGGCGGACGGGUGAGUAACACGUGGAUAACCUACCUAUAAGACUGGGAUAACUUCGGGAAACCGGAGCUAACACCGGAUAAUAUUUUGAACCGCAUGGUUCAAAAGUGAAAGACGGUCUUGCUGUCACUUAUAGAUGGAUCCGCGCUGCAUUAGCUAGUUGGUAAGGUAACGGCUUACCAAGGCAACGAUGCAUAGCCGACCUGAGAGGGUGAUCGGCCACACUGGAACUGAGACACGGUCCAGACUCCUACGGGAGGCAGCAGUAGGGAAUCUUCCGCAAUGGGCGAAAGCCUGACGGAGCAACGCCGCGUGAGUGAUGAAGGUCUCCGGAUCGUAAAACUCUGUUAUUAGGGAAGAACAUAUGUGUAAGUAACUGUGCACAUCUUGACGGUACCUAAUCAGAAAGCCACGGCUAACUACGUGCCAGCAGCCGCGGUAAUACGUAGGUGGCAAGCGUUAUCCGGAAUUAUUGGGCGUAAAGCGCGCGUAGGCGGUUUUUUAAGUCUGAUGUGAAAGCCCACGGCUCAACCGUGGAGGGUCAUUGGAAACUGGAAAACUUGAGUGCAGAAGAGGAAAGUGGAAUUCCAUGUGUAGCGGUGAAAUGCGCAGAGAUAUGGAGGAACACCAGUGGCGAAGGCGACUUUCUGGUCUGUAACUGACGCUGAUGUGCGAA
rnacentral:rRNA from 1 species